rnacentral:misc_RNA from 1 species
AAAAGAUAGUGAGGGGGAGAGUUUGAUAAUUGUAAGCCUAAUUUUGGUCAACUAAAUAAAAUUGAAAGCACAAUUUUGGUCAAUUGGAUAAAAUUGUAACUGAUUUGCUCAAUUUGACUCAAAUUGCCAAAAUUGAAAUGGUUGGAUUAAAUUGCACUUUCGUGCAAAAUUUUUUGAUUUUUUUGGUUAAGCCUUUGAAAUACCUCAAACUCUGGAUAUUGAAAGCAUAAAUUUUAUAGCAUUUUAGCUUUCGUGGGCAACUCAUUUUGAAAACUUUGCUUAGAUAUAGAUCGUCACAUUUAUGGUUCUUUUCAACAGCUUGCAAGUGAAUUUGAUAUUGCAGGAAGAUGUUCUUUAUGCAAGAG